rnacentral:misc_RNA from 1 species
GAUGAAGAACGUAGCGAAAUGCGAUAAGUAAUGUGAAUUGCAGAAUUCAGUGAAUCAUCGAAUCUUUGAACGCACAUUGCGCCCCCCGGCAUUCCGGGGGGCAUGCCUGUUCGAGCGUCUCCAGGACGAAUCCUCGCGCGAGUGAACGCGCGGUCGUGGCGGAGGUGGCGUGCCCGAGCAGGGCGGCCACCGCGCUGGAAUCCAUGGGCGGACGCCUGCCGCGUGGCCGAGCGUGAUAUGACGCAUUGGCGCUCGUGCGCGGCGAGGCUGCCAGCCCUGGCCCGUCUGUCGGGCGGCGUAGAUCACCACGUGGGAACUCCUCGAAUCAGGUAGGGAUACCCGCUGAACUUAAGCAUAUCAAUAAGCGGAGGA